rnacentral:misc_RNA from 1 species
CGUGGCUGGCGUUUUGUUCCGGCACUUAUCUCAAACGCGAGGGGCGGAUCAUUGCGUUGCCGUGCGGAAUACUGCGCCAUUGCCCGGACCGAUUCGCGUACACGGACGUGACCACGACGUUUGCGGAUGAACUGGGCCUGCCCCGGAGCGUGGAUCUGUUCACUUCCAAAGCGCGCUAUCUGACGGCGAAGACGGACUGGGACAAGGAACAAUCUUUUGGCGACCGUUACACGGAGUGGCACAAGAAGACGGCGGCGAUCCUCCAAGAAGGGUUGUUGGUCUUUCAUUAUGCGGUCCUGGAAUCGACCAAUGUGCUGGGGCGGAGCUUCCCGACGAAGUUUGAAUUCUUUCAAACGGGCCGCCCGUACGAGCAAGCAGGCGAUUGGUAUUGCCAAGGCAUCGGCCGGGUUAAAUCCAUUCGUCCGUCAACGAAACCUCCGGAUUUGAAAUGAGAUCCACACGAUGAACACGUCAAAAAAAGCCGCGCAGUGGGUGGCCGCGCUCUGCUUGAGCCUGGUCCCCGUCCAGAUUCAAGCCGCUGAGUUUUUCGAACUCUGGGCUGAAAUUGAAACUUUCGCUUACGAACUUGGAGACACCAAUGCCAUCGCCAAGGCCAAGCCACAGAAGGUGAAGGUGAGGUGUAUCACGGGUUCAACCGAGUGGUAUGUUGAGCAUGAUUACUAUGGGCGUGAAGAGUGGCGGUUCGAUGGCACGAACCUGGUGUUUAGGUCAGGUCCACUCUCUGGUGCCGCUACGAAGAUCGCGAGGGUGACGACGGGGGCCAGGGAAUCCCGUGACGGUCUGCCGGUGGGAGAGUUUGGCGUGAACAUGCCUUGGCUGGCAUUUUGUUCCGGAACUUAUCUCAAACGCGAGGGCCGGGUCCUGACGUUGCCGUGCGUGGAUUUGCGUCAUUGCCCGGACCGCUUCGCUUACACGGACGUGACGACGACGUUUGCUGAUGAACUGGGCCUGCCGAGGAGCGUGGAUCUUUUCACUUCCAAAACAAGAUUUCUGGCGGCGAAGACGGCCUGGGACGCGGAACAUUCUUUUGGCGACCGUUACACGGAGGCAAACAAGAGGAUAGCGGCGAACCUGCAAGAACGGUUGCUCGUGUUUCACUAUGCGGUGCUGGAAUCGACCAAUGUGCUGGGG